rnacentral:rRNA from 1 species
UGCCUCAGUAACGGCGAGUGAAGCGGCAACAGCUCAAAUUUGAAAUCUGGCCCCAGGCCCGAGUUGUAAUUUGCAGAGGAUGCUUUUGGUGCGGUGCCUUCCAAGUUCCCUAGAACGGGACGCCAGAGAGGGUGAGAGCCCCGUACAGUUGGACACCAAGCCUUUGUAAAGCUCCUUCGACGAGUCGAGUAGUUUGGGAAUGCUGCUCAAAAUGGGAGGUAUAUUUCUUCUAAAGCUAAAUACCGGCCAGAGACCGAUAGCGCACAAGUAGAGUGAUCGAAAGAUGAAAAGCACUUUGAAAAGAGGGUUAAACAGCACGUGAAAUUGUUAAAAGGGAAGCGCUUGUGACCAGACUUGCGUCCGGUGAAUCACCCAGCUCUCGCGGCUGGGGCACUUCGCCGGCUCAGGCCAGCAUCAGCUCGCUGUCGGGGACAAAAGCUUCAGGAACGUAGCUCUCUUCGGGGAGUGUUAUAGCCUGUUGCACAAUACCCUUCGGCGGGCUGAGGUACGCGCUCCGCAAGGAUGCUGGCAUAAUGGUCAUCAGCGACCCGUCUUGAAACACGGACCAAGGAGUCAACCUUAUGUGCGAGUGUUCGGGUGUCAAACCCCUACGCGUAAUGAAAGUGAACGCAGGUGAGAGCUUCGGCGCAUCAUCGACCGAUCCUGAUGUUCUCGGAUGGAUUUGAGUAAGAGCAUAUAGGGUUGGACCCGAAAGAAGGUGAACUAUGCGUGUAUAGGGUGAAGCCAGAGGAAACUCUGGUGGAGGCUCGCAGCGGUUCUGACGUGCAAAUCGAUCGUCAAAUAUGCGCAUGGGGGCGAAAGACUAAUCGAACCUUCUA